rnacentral:rRNA from 1 species
UACGUAGGGAGCAAGCGUUGUCCGGAAUCAUUGGGCGUAAAGCGCGCGUAGGUGGCCUCAUAAGUCCGCUGUGAAAGUCAAAGGCUCAACCUUUGAAAGCCGGUGGAUACUGUGAGGCUAGAGUACGGAAGAGGCGAGUGGAAUUCCUGAUGUAGCGGUGGAAUGCGCAGAUAUCAGGAGGAACACCAAUAGCGAAGGCAGCUCGCUGGGACGUACUGACACUGAGGCGCGAAAGCGUGGGGAGCGAACAGG